rnacentral:lncRNA from 1 species
GGCAGACAUGCACUCUUACAUUUUCUUUUCAGGCUAACCUGACCCUGGCUUUUAUAUUGAAAUGGAUAAAAGAUGGAAAAUGGGAAAGCCCUAGAUAUGGUUGCAACUCAGGAAACUUAUGAGAAGCUCUUCAAGAAACCCUUGAUUAGAAUUCCUCACAGUAGUCCAGCUUGGAGGACACAAAGGGCAAAUUCAG